UCCUAUAUGCAUUGUAGGUUGAAUUUGCUGGGGGUGCUUUGAGAUGUGGCGAGUAUGUCACCCUACGCAAGGGUACAAAUGCAAGUCAAAAGGGUGGUGGUUCUGGUACACAACAAGUUGUCAUUGAAGGGCCCUUAUGUGAGGAUUAUUAUAAAAUUCAGGAUCUAUUGUAUUCACAAUUUUAUUUGUUAUAAUUGAGAAACCUCGUUGAACAUGGAAGAUAUGACCCCAUCAAUUUGAAUUGCCUAGUUGGAAAUGUAUUGAUUUUUUUCUC